UGAUCGCCCUCCUCAACGUCAUCAUGCUUCGUCCUAAACCUGGACCGAAGCAUCACACCUGAGUGGCCUUCAGGGAAAGCAGUUCUGCAGGGGGACCAGUGCAAUGGGAUUUGGCUGCGCAGCUUCCGUUGGCUGGUGAGAUUCACAGACAGGCUUUACUGAAUCUGAGGAACUGCAGAUCUUGCUGGCCUCGAUAGAGAUCUGGGCCGAGUUGGUUCCAGUUGCUUGCAAGAAACAAUGUGCCUGAUGCCCAUAGGUCUUCUACUGUGUUUCCUGCCACCUACAUACAGAGCAAACGAACGUGAAACUGCUGUGAAAAUCAGGGCUGCAUAAGGGCAUAAGGACACAACCCAGGUCUGCCCACAGAGCAUUCCUAAGAGCCUCUGCAAGUGGAAAGCCUGGCACGCGAGCCAUGAGGAGCAAAGACUGUCACAAGGACUGUCUCUGAACCCAGAUGGGCCACCGCUGAGCUGUGUUCUCCCUGUCUCUUAUCCCAUCUCGGAUCCAUUUCCCGAGGGAGCCAACUUAAUCACAACUGCUACCUUGAGAGGUUGAGCCAUCUUUCUUGAGGCUUGUGUAUCAUUCAAAGUCACAGUCUUGAAACCUAAGAGCCCAGUUGUAACCUUGGAGAACUUCAGUCCUCCAAUGAGGAAAGAGGCUAGGCGGGAAAGAAAAAAGGGGCCACCUGGGCCAAAGCAGGAGGAAUCUGGGAACAUGGUACCCAAUGAGGGGCCCUAAGAGCGGGAAGCAGUGAUCCAGCAGAAUGGCUCCAGGUGGAUCUCUGACCUGAUUGGGAUUUAAGCAAACAAAUGAGCCUAAAGGCAUGACAAAUGGAUUCCAAAUGAUGUUCUGUAAACGGCUUUGUGCUAAGUUUGGAAGUAGGAAGAACUCUUUGAGAUCUUUAUUGUGUUGGACCCAAACAUUGAAGGCCUCCUCAGGUUCCCUUCAUGCCCACUUUGUUGCCAAAGGUGCUGCCCACCCCCAGGGGCUCCCCAAGAGCACUGUCACCUUUGCCAAGCCCUGGAACUGCCUGGACGCCAAGGUGAGGCCCUGAGCCUCACACCCUCACUGCAAGCGUACUCUUGCCCAGUUGCACUCCACUCCAGGAUUUGGGUACAAUGCCACAGCCAUGGGCAUGGGAACUGUUUCCUGAGUGGCUCCAGAAGGACCAAGUGACACCCAGAAGUGAAGGGUGUUGCCUCCCUGGGAGUAAACUUGGUUUCAGGUAACAGAGAUGAAGAAUCCUUUCUCUCUCCACGUGGAGGUUCGAUUUCUCCUGGCAAAGCUGCAGAAGUCCCUUGGGCUGAGGGGACACACCUGCAGAGCAGCCUGUGUCUUUGGCCACUCACUGAGAAGUGGCAUGCAGGGUAGCACCACUGCAUCACAUUGCUUCUUGUUUACCCUGCCUGUCUUCCCGGUUCCCUCCUAACCCUCACCUUUCCAGGGUUUCACUUCCCAAA
rnacentral:lncRNA from 1 species